rnacentral:misc_RNA from 1 species
GAUGAAGAACGUAGCGAAAUGCGAUAAGUAAUGUGAAUUGCAGAAUUCAGUGAAUCAUCGAAUCUUUGAACGCACAUUGCGCCCCCUGGUAUUCCGGGGGGCAUGCCUGUCCGAGCGUCAUUGCUGCCCUCAAGCACGGCUUGUGUGUUGGGCCUCCGUCCUCCUCCCGGGGGACGGGCCCGAAAGGCAGCGGCGGCACCGCGUCCGGUCCUCGAGCGUAUGGGGCUUCGUCACCCGCUCUUGUAGGCCCGGCCGGCGCUUGCCGACACAUCAAUCUUUUUUCCAGGUUGACCUCGGAUCAGGUAGGGAUACCCGCUGAACUUAAGCAUAUCAAUAAGCGGAAGA